AUUUUGUAUUGUUUCUGAUAAUAAUGCAAAGAGUUUCUUUUUGCACGUUUUAUUUUAUGCUUGCUGGUUUAUAGUUAACUUUUCUUUUACAGCUCAUGGCUUUAGACAAGAACAACCAAAGUUCCUAUAAUAAGUGAUAGCAACGCUGGAACGCCUUGAUCCUGAAACAAUACAGCAGAAGGAGGAAGAAGCUCGAGAUGAAGAUGAUGACGAAGACUGGAGUCCAGUGCAGCCUCUUCCCAUCACACAACAGCGAGAAAACUACCUCACUUAAAAACAAGUUUGUCAUGGGUAGCUACAGAGAAGUGGUGUAUUUUAUAAAAGAAACUGAGGAUUUGUAAUAAUGUUGGAAACUUUACAUGAAAAUAGAAUAACCUAAUGUAAAAUUCCAUUUAAAAGUAGAAAGCAGUAUCAUAAAAACAAUAUGGAAUGUUUCUUCUAACUAGUAAAGACAGUUCAUUUUUAAAUAAAAUAGGUGGGUAAAAGGAACCUCCAUAUUUUCAGGCUUAUAUUACACAAGAAAAGGGGUGAUUGUUUAGGUUCCUGUUUUAAGUGCCUGAAACUUUCAGUAGUGUUAAAAUAAUUUGUUUAUAUUGAUGUGCAUCUUGGUGGUAGCUAAGAAAGGAAACAAUAUGAAUGUACAAGUGAUAUUAAGGCUUGUGAUUAGAGGUUGUUUCUGUUUGAUGUCUAUAGUUUCCAGCAUUUUUUGAAUAAAGUUAUAAUGAAAGUAUAUCAUCGUGCUUCAGCAUAAAAACAGCAGUUGAGACAAUAUUUAACACUUUACAAAACAUUGACAUUCUUUUGUGAAAUAUGAAUGCUUUGGUAUUUUUUGUAAUUCAGUUACAUCUCUUUACUGUAGUACAGUAGUUUUCAGACCUGGGGUCAAGGAAGGCUCAGUUGUAGUUCAGGUUUUGCAGAAAAAAUAUUAUAUGUAGUAAACAAAGCUGAAUGGGCUGGUUGAAAUAGAUUUUCAAACAAAUAGGAUUUAUUAUAUUCAGGAUGUCUUGAAAAUAUUUUGGGAACUGCUGCCCUGCUGCAAUUGAUACUUGUAAGUAUUAACUGAAGUUUGGCCAUAUUAAUUGGAAAGUGUAAUAUAUAUACCAUAAAUUGGGAUUUGGAGUAAGUCAUUUGAAUUUCAAAGAUAUGCUUAAGGUUCUCACGUUAAAUAGAUAAACAAAAACUAUUAAUGCUCUAUUUUUGUGUUUUAUGAUAUGUGCAACUGUUUUAUGAGUAAUACUCCAAUUAAUAGUAAUGUAUGAGUCAGUAGCUUUAAUUAUAGGUAUUUGUGGCAGUGUGCAUAGAUAUCAAAAUUACUGUUUGCAGAAUUAUCUCAUAAAUAACCUGAUGCUGAUUUAUGCUUUCUUUUGAUUAGAAUAUUUUAAUCAACAAGAUUUUUGUUUUUGAGGUGUUAUGUGUUUCAAGGUUGUUUUUUUUCUUUCACAAAACUGAUUUUAUUCAUAAAGUGGAAUUGAGGAAAUAUUCUAGCAUGCUAAUAUUAAGCUUCUGUUGUAGGUAUUUAUGCCAUUAGGUUGUGUUGUGGAAAAAGUAAUAGUAGGCUGUGGUCUGUUUUCAGCUUUUAUUAAAAAGUUGUACUGGAAUGGGAGCAAUUCAUGGCUCAGAAAUUAAAUUAGUUUAAAUGUUAGAUGAAUACUGAAGAAUCAUAUCACACUGCUCCAAAUGAAAUGCUAGGAAAGAUGUCGCCAUGUUUUGUAACACAUUCAGAAAACUAUUAAAAGUAAGUAUUGUAUGUUUUAACCAGAUAACUGUGAUAGAUCAAGAAUGAUAAGUAGCCUCAUUCACUACUUAAAGGUCAUAAAUUCUUGAGGGUACUGUUAUAGGAAAAUAUAUAUUCUUCUGAAGAGUUACUUGUUCUUAUAGGGUUUUUUUAGGAUGUUGGCCAAAAAAAAAAACUUUGGAUUUGAUAGGAUAGAGUGAAUUGGUUAUUAAUACUAGAUAUGGCUGAAAUACUAAACAUUUUUGGUCACUUUAUCAAAAAUAAAGUAACAGUGGGUGCUGUGAUAUAACAAAGUGUUUAAUGUGACUUAGGAUAUGUGAGUGGGGAAAUUGUGUUCAGAAGAGCUUGUAUUUGUCUAGAUUUUAACAACAUACUGUUUAGUGUUCUUUGUUCUCUGAUCCCUACCCAUAGCAAUACUGCUUGUGUAGACUAUAAACAGAACAGUUCAUUAGUGCACAUGUAAACAUGAACAACAGAACUGUACAUUACAUCGAUAUGAAGUGUUUGAUGGUUUUCUCACUUAUUAUUGUGUAAAGUGAAAGUUUUUUGUUAAAUGUAGUUCAAUAGCAUGAGUACUGGUAGUACAGAGACUGGUGUGAAAUGUGUACAUAGACUGAACAUGGCCAGGUUGUAGUUGUGAAAUGAGUAUGGAGACUGAACAUGUCCAGGUUGUAGUAAGUGUGAAAUGAGUACAGAAACUAAACAUGUCCAGGUUGUAGUAGGUGUGAAAUGAGUACAGUGACUAAAACAUGUCCAGAUUGUAGUAGGUGUGAAAUGAGUACGGAUACUGAACAUGUCCAGGUUAUAGUAGGUGUGAAAUGAGUACAGUGACUAAAACAUGUCCAGGUUGUAGUAGGUGUGAAAUGAGUACAGAGACUGAACAUGUCCAGAUUUUAGUAGGUGUGAAAUGAAAAACAAAAGUAAAUCAUCAAAGUAUAUGUAUUUUGGUGACAGAAAUGAAAGAGAAGUAAUAUGUUGACAUCAAUACAGUAAUUAGAUGUUCCAUGUAUUUGUGAUAAACUUGAAUUAUUGAGACACAAAUAUUUUAAAUAGUUUAGGUAGCACUUUUUCUACAUAUAAUAUCAGAGAUUAGAUAUUGUUUGACACUGUACAUAGUGUAGCACUCACUGUUGUAUGUACUUAAUAACCCAACAGUAAAUAGGUGUUGAAGAUGGCUAUUAAAAUUUACUUUUGUUUCACGUACGUUAUCAGGUUUUUUGUGUUUUUUUCAUGUUGUUUUACAUUAUCUAAUAUAAUUUUUUUAUCUUGAUUUUAUAACCUUUUUGUAAAGUACUUCAUGGUUAUUUAUAAAGACGACUUUUAUUCUGGUUGUUUUCUCCUCUUUUGAACAUACGUGGAGAGACGUUUUCUACUUUUUUUUUUCAGGAAUAUUUUUAUGCAGCAUAUUGAAAGUUCAUGCUAAUCAUUUUUCACCCAUAUUAACAACUCGUAAGUUCUGUACACGUGACUGUUCUCGACUCUCACGUUGUGUUGUUUUCGUUGGUGUUAUUCUGCAAUUACAUUGUAUCUAUUGCAAUACAUCUUAUGUGAAUGUGUUGAUGAAGAACUAGUGUUCACCAGUUACUUUAUUAUAUCUGUGGUGUUAGUACUUUAGAUAUUUUGAGAAUGAAUCUGUACAAAGAGUGUGACAGUUUGUUGAACUUCAUCAUGUAAUUCGUUUUUUACAUUCCAGUACUUAACAAUCAAAUCAUAAAUUAUCGUUUGUUCUACACAUGUAGAACUAGUGCGUUCUUUACAUCUGUACUUCUUUUCAGCCUUAUAUUUUACUUUGGUUUAGAUGUAUAUAUAUAUAUAGGCUUACAAUUAAAACAAUUUGUAGAAGAUAUAUAAUGUCUUUCCUGUGUUUUAUGUGAAAAGAAAGUUGUUAGAGCAACAUACAUGUCAAAGGAGAACAAAACUCGUUUCUCAGACUUGUUGAGAAGAAAGUUUUAGUAGAGAUACACAAACAAAAAAAUUUAAGUGAUGGUUAGAUGAUUAGUUAAAACUUAGCUCAUUUAUAACUGUUGUAAUUUUGAUUCAGAAAUCCUAGGCUUGGGAUUGUAUUUACAACGAUAUUGUGUUAGGUUUGCAAAUGUUCAUAUUAUUGUUCACCAUGUAUUUUUGUUUUACUCUUUCUCUCUCUAUAUCUAUAUAUAUAUAUAGGUGCUUAUUCAUAUGGUAAUGUUGAAUUGUUACAUUAUUAUAUAUUGUUUAAGAAAACACAAGUUCUGUAUUCCUUUAAAAUUUAUAGUGCAUACUGGAGGGAUUUACACAUUUUGAUAAUAAAGUUUAGAACAAAACAACCUUUAUAUUCCAGAUAGAUAUAAAAGGGUUAAUAUACACAACUGUAUGAUAUUAAAAUAUUUGUUAAAUUGUAAAAGUGCUUGUAAUAUUCUAUUUCUCGAGUCUGCCAGAACAUGUGUCUAACAAUGUAUAGGUUAUUAUUAUUGUUCUAAUAUUAUAGUAUAGUUAUAAUACUAAGUAUGCACCUAUACUAACAUAUGACAUAUAUAUAUAACUAUUUGAUAUGAUAUAUAAAAAUAUAGAGAACUACAGUAUGUUUUCUGAUUAGCUAAAAAAACACAUAGAUGGAAAAUAGAAGUAUACCAUAAUAUUUUAACAAUUGUGAAACAAUAAUAAUAACCUAUACAUUGUUAGACGCACGUUACGGCAGACUAGAGAAAUAGAACAUUACAAGCAGUUUUUUAAUUAAACAAAUAUUCUAAGAUCAAACAGUUGUGUAUAUCAACCCUAAUGAAGUGACAUAGGUGAAACAUUGGUUACAAUAAACAGAUUCUGCAGUUGUAAACAAAACUUCUGAGUGUAAUUUGGAAAGCAGAUACACUUAAUAUAAUUUGGGAAUUGUUUAAAUAUUAAACCUUCUAAACCUGCAAGGUGUUAACUCAAAUAUAUAUAACAACAUAUAUUUUCAGGGACUGUAAAAACAUCCCAUUAUUCCUCUGCUUUUUUACUUUAUGACCUACCUUGUCAUUCCUUUGAUGUUUAGAUUUGUGAAUCUAUGGUGUUAUUCCUUUCAUGUUUAGAUUUGUGAACUAUCCUGUUAUUCUUUUGAUGUUUGGCUUUCUGAAUUAUACUGUCAUUCCUUUGAUGUUUAGCUUUAUGAAAUAUCCCAUUACUUCUGUGAUGUUUACUUUGUGAAACAUCUAUUACUUUUAUCAUGAUUUAUGAACAAAAAAUAUCCUGUUGUUAUUCUGAUGUUUUACUUCUUACUUUUUUUCAUAUUAAUGAAAUUUAUACAUAAAACUUCAGUUGUUUUGAUAAAGCUGACCGUUAAUGUUAAUAAUGUUAUUGCUAAGAGAGUUUACUGUACAGUUUAGGUGUUUGUUCAUUAUAUUCAAAUACACUUUUUGGAAUCUGUUGUCCUUCACCAAUUUAAUAGAGUCAUAGAUAAGUUAAACUGACUUUUUUAUUAGAUGUUUUGUGUGUAUAGCCAUUUUAAAGAGCUUGUAAGUACUAAUUUAAUGAGGUAAAAUAAGUCAAACAAUGAUAAAUGCUCACAAAAUUUUUGAUUGAUUCAUGGAUAACUCUUUACUUUUUGUUGUUGUUUCAAAUGGGAUAAAUAGGAACCAAUGGCAAUCAUUCUAAGUUUUAUUACAUUUGCUUUAUAUAUAUAUAUAUGUGUUUUCUCAAAGUUCUCAAAUAACGUUUUUUAUUACACUUUUGAAAGUUUGUUUUAUGAGUAUUUUCUUUUAUAUUAUUUUAUUUUGAUGUAUACUUGUUAUGUAGCAAGGGUAAAAUACCCCAUUUUAACUGGUUUUGUCUAUAAAAUAUCAAUAUGGCAUAUCAUAAAAAUAUGAAACUUAAACCUAAAGUGUUAUACUAAUGACGAACCGUGGGAUGUUUAAUAAUGUUAAUGAAAACCAUUGCUUCUUAGUGUUAGCUUGCUUUAGUCAACAUUAAUAAUAACAUUAGCAAUGAAUGACAUUACAUGCAUUCAUAAGAAUGAUCCUCAGACAUAGCUUUUUUCUUUGGGUUCGUGAAAAUUAAUUUUCUUACCGAACAAAACAUUUGUUAAGAUUACAUACAUGAUUUCAUGUUUGAUUGAAAUUAAACCAUUGUCCUGCUUUUAGUUUUAGCAGCAAAUUCAGCUUUUUAUUACGAUAUUAGUAUGAUUCUUCUGGAUAUUUAACUUUCCCGCUGAUUAUCGUUGCCUUAUUUUAGAUUUAAAUGUAUAGCUUACUUGUCAUUCAACAUUACUAGUUUGAUUUUAUAUUUCUUGUAUAAUAUCAUUGUUGUUUAUUAAAAGGCUUAUGAGUUAAAUAAAACUCAGUGUAGUACUGAAUCUCAGUACAGUAUGUUUGAACUCCUGUGACUUAUUGGAUAUUUACAUUAAAUUCUAUAAGCAAGAAAUUUAUCACAAAAUUGUGUUAUUAAUUGUAUCAGAAAUCUGAGAGAAUGCAAUAUAAAUGUAUAAUAAAAAGUUGAACUGUA